rnacentral:lncRNA from 1 species
GCGUGUCAGUCCGACGCGGAGCCGGCUCGUACUCUAACUUGAAAGCAUUCCGGGAAAGCACAUUCCCCUCGAAAGCGUGCGUACGUGCGUGUGCCAGAAACUGACCGCAUUGCCGUGGCGUAAUGUUGGGCAAAGCCCUAGUGAACGACUCGUUGAAGAGGAUUGGUCGCCAGCGCUAGCCAGGAUGCCGUCGCUCGCCCCCGUCCCCGCCCCCGCCCCCGCCCCCGCCAGCCGCCCCUCUGCGCCCUCCCGUGCGGCGCCGAGGCCCUACAAACCCUUCGGCUGCCCGUGGGCGUGGCUCCUGGUCCCUCUCUUCCUGGGGGCGGCCCUCGCCACGCCCCCCUGCGGUGCUCAUGUGUACACCAUCCUGCUGCACGUCGACGAAGGCAACUCGCGAGGUGAGUGAGACUUCGGUGCAUGGCGCUGCUUGGGCCCGCACGCUCCGGUCGCAGGUCGAGCGUGUUGACGGCGGACCGGGUCGAGGUAAGGCGACCGACCGGCCACUACCGACUCGCUCGUAGGCACGGUCGUUGUUUCGUCCUCAUUGCCCCGUAUUAGGAUCGCCACUCGUCGUCUUGGUCCCGUAUUAGGAUCGCCACUCGUCGUCUUGGUCCCGUAUUAGGAUCGCCACUCGUUGUUCUUGCCGUUUAUGAUCGUUGCCACUCGCCAUCAUUAGCCUUUCAGAGCCCCCGUGUUUUUGCAAAGGGCCCGUGCAUGAGGGGAGUCUCUCUCUCACUCCGGCUGAUUGUUGCACAGCCGCCUGCCGUGCAAUGACCACUGGGACGGCACGUUGCUGAGUUGAUGCAAUAAUUGAUCGAACUGCGAUAAUGUGAAAGGACGAAGCGAAGUGAUGGAAUAGUUGUGAUAAUGAAGAUAAAUAGAUGAACCGAGAUUAUGGAAUGAUAAAAGAAAGAUGAAGUUGAUAAAUGGAAUUGAUGAAACACCGGCUAUAAAGUGGACAAACAGACCCAGCUGAAACUGAUAAGUGGUUUGAUCAAUAAAAUCACAGAGUGACUGGAACAGCUGAUGAUGAUGUCCUGGCGGUGGGUCAGAACGACAGUCUUAACGCCGGAGUGAGUAAUGAGUGGAGUGGCGUAAUGUGAGUAAAGAGUGGAGUGAGUAACGAGUGGAGUGGCGUAAUGUGAGUAAAGAGUGGAGUGAGUAACGAGUGGAGUGGCGUAAUGUGAGUAAUGAGUGGAGUGAGUAACGAGUAGAGAGGCGUAAUGUGAGUAAUGAGUGGAGUGGCGUAAUGUGAGUAAAGAGUGGAGUGACUAACGAGUAGAGAGGCGUAAUGUGAGUAAUGAGUGGAGUGUGACUGGAGUGGCGUAGUGUGAGUAAUGAGUGGAGUGUGAGUGGAGUGGCGUAGUGUGAGUAAUAGGUGGCGUGAUGAGGAAAAUGAAGACAGACAAAAACAAGUCAACCAACACCGACGACGAGAUGAUGAGUGCGACGAUGUCCGUGUUCAUGCAACGGGAGAGAGGAGUGAGGACGCGCCUGUUAAUGAGCGUCGUGUAAUUAGCGUGAUAUCCCUAAUUAGCGUAAAUUCCAAGCGUGUCGGAGUAAAUGACGAAAGGGUGGUAGGUAACAGCAAUGGUUGGCGAUGGUAGUGCGUUUACCAUCGAUCGAAUGGAGUGGAGGUUAUUAGUGGUCGUGAUGAUAGCAAUGCUGAUUGUCCUUUCCGGGAAUUCCGAGUGUUGAGAUAGAUAAGUUUGUGUGUGUGGUAGUUUAUGUGUCUGUUGGUUUAUACAUAUACAUAUAUGUACACACACUCACUUUCAAUAAUGACUUGAAAUUUGGGAGAGAAGGCUGUCUGGAUAUUCAAUUCUGUCUUUUUUCGAGAGGAACGAGUGAGAACAGCUUUACCAUAAACCGCAUCGUUUCCUUAUCGUAAUGAUAUUUAAACCAACAUCAAAGAAAUACCCGGUGGAACUGAAUAAAACACAGGAAAGUACUAUUUUCGGUCAGGGAACCUUUUUUAGCUGGGAAGUAUGCAGGGGUGGGUGGGGGAGAGAAGAGGGUCGUCCUGGCACUCUGGCAUUACAUAGGAGUGCCAUGUUACUCUGGCUGACAGUUCUUGCGAGGGGUGUUGUUGGGGUGGAGGAGUGGGUACCACCAUCACCACUCCUACUCUCCCCUCCUAUUCCCUACCCCUAAAAGUACCUAAUUGUACGCGUUAUUCGCUCUCGUUUGUUAUUCCUUUGAAGUUGAAGUGCAUUCAGUUAGCGAAAACAAGUUGCUUUUAGUUCACCAAGGGAGGUAUAUUUAGAUCACUAUAAAGAGACACAUUUCGUCCACUGAAAAAGAACUUCAUUUCGUUCACAAAACAAAUCCAUUUCGUUCACACAAAGAAGUACAUUUAGUCCACAUAGAAGAUAGACAUAUCUGUGCGAACAUUUAGUUCGCACAGAAAACGAUACCUUUAACUUACAGAAAAAAAACAUUUUGUUUACAAAAAAGGAAAAAAAAUCAAGUUCACUCUCAAAAAAGAAGAAAAAAAAAUCCCCACAGUAGACUCUGCCCCGCCACCGCCCGCCCGCCCGCCCUCCAUAUGCUCGUAGCAGAGGCUGUGGGGCAUCAAAGCGUGCCAGGUGUGAUGCCAUUCCACCAAAGAGAAGAAUUGCCUGGGUGACAGGGCUUGGCGGGGCUGUCAGAUCGGUGGGAUGAGAGAGAGGGUGAGAGUGAGAGAAAGAGAAAGAGAGCUAGCUGGAAGGAAAGGG